AGAGUUUGAUCAUGGCUCAGAUUGAACGCUGGCGGAAUGCUUUACACAUGCAAGUCGAACGAUGAACCCUAGCUUGCUAGGGGGAUUAGUGGCGAACGGGUGAGUAAUAUAUCGGAACGUGCCUUGUAAUGGGGGAUAACUAGUCGAAAGAUUAGCUAAUACCGCAUACGCCCUGAGGGGGAAAGUAGGGGAUCUUCGGACCUUACGUUAUAAGAGCGGCCGAUAUCUGAUUAGCUAGUUGGUGGGGUAAUGGCCUACCAAGGCUUCGAUCAGUAGCUGGUCUGAGAGGACGACCAGCCACACUGGAACUGAGACACGGUCCAGACUCCUACGGGAGGCAGCAGUGGGGAAUUUUGGACAAUGGGCGCAAGCCUGAUCCAGCCAUUCCGCGUGAGUGAAGAAGGCCUUCGGGUUGUAAAGCUCUUUCGCAAGGGAAGAAAACUUACUUUCUAAUAAAGAGUGAGGCUGACGGUACCUUGAUAAGAAGCACCGGCUAACUACGUGCCAGCAGCCGCGGUAAUACGUAGGGUGCGAGCGUUAAUCGGAAUUACUGGGCGUAAAGCGUGCGCAGGCGGUUUGGCAAGUCAGAUGUGAAAUCCCCGAGCUCAACUUGGGAACUGCGUUUGAAACUGCCAGACUAGAAUAUGUCAGAGGGGGGUAGAAUUCCACGUGUAGCAGUGAAAUGCGUAGAGAUGUGGAG
rnacentral:rRNA from 1 species